AGGGCACCACCAGGAGUGGAGCCUGCGGCUUAAUUUGACUCAACACGGGAAAACUCACCCGGCCCGGACACCGUAAGGAUUGACAGACUGAGAGCUCUUUCUUAAUUCGGUGGGUGGUGGUGCAUGGCCGUUCUUAGUUGGUGGAGCGAUUUGUCUGGUUAAUUCCGAUAACGAACGAGACUCUGGCCUAUUAAAUAGACGGUAUAUCGAAAAGUAUAUCGCACUUCUUAGAGGGACAAGCGGCGUCUAGCCGCAUGAAAUAGAGCAAUAACAGGUCUGUGAUGCCCUUAGAUGUCCGGGGCUGCACGCGCGCUACACUGAAGGAAUCAGAGUGCGCUUUGCCUAGUUCGGAAGAACUGGGUAACCCAAGUAAAUUCUUUCGUGCUUGGGAUAGGGAAUUGCAAUUAUUUCCCUUAAACGAGGAAUUCCCAGUAAAUGCGGGUCAUAAGCUCGCGUUGAUUACGUCCCUGCCCUUUGUACACACCGCCCGUCGCUACUACCGAUUGGAUGACUUAGUGA
rnacentral:rRNA from 1 species